UUACCGAUUCGAACGUUUUUAUCUCCUAUCACUAGAAAUCCCUCAUCUGAGUUUUGCAGCAAUACAUUGUUCAUCUCUUGAAAAUCUCUUUCCCAGUUAUUACAGUUGAUAUACAGGCAAUACAUUUAGGAAAACAGAAUUAUCUAAUUUUAUAACAAUCGCUUUCAUAUAUUAUCAAUAUUUUUAAAAUUCAACUUAUCUCUGAAAUCUGAGGUUUUAUUAAUACCUAGUAACAUACCCCCACUAGCACGACCAAACUGAGAGCUUUUUUGCGCAUAACACCAGAUCGGUGGGGAAGGGUUGUAGGUAACCAGGUCACUUGCCGCCCCUUCAGGGAAGGUGUUUUUCAAAAAAAUGUGAAACUAGGUAUGAAGGUAUGAAGAAACUCGUCAAAAAUAUGAUACAGUACCAAGUUCUGAAAAGCUAAAAUAUCAUUGAAUAAUCAUUUUUUAAGAAAAAUAAAAUGAAAACUUGAAAAUCAGUUUAAUGUCCAGGUCAGAAGGUUGGAUAUUAUUCAAUUCUGAUUAUGAUCUAACAUAAAAUUGGUGAAAUUCUUAUAACUAUGUUAGUUUUGAAUAGAUUGAUUUGAAACUCCAUGGGUGUGUUAAUUGUAUGAAGGGAAACGUUCAUGAUUUUUUGUAGAAUUUCCCUACGUUCCCUUCUCCGUCCCAAACCAAAAAAACAUGGUAGUUCUGAUGCUACAUGCGAGAAAAUUCAAAAGUCGCGCUAUUCUGAGCUUCCUCUUUGCUUCGCGGCAAGGAACAGGAUUGGAUUAAAUCGCCCGCGGAACAACACUAUUGGUCUACUCAGAAGCGCGACUUUUGAAUCCUCUCUCAUAUACCAUCAGAACUACCAUAAUAUGUUUUCGGUUUAGGAGUGAGGAUGGGACGUAGGAAAAUUCUACAAAAAAUCAUGAACGAUUCCCUUCAUACUAUUAACACACCCAUGAAGUUUCAAAUCAAUCUUUCAAAACUAACAAAGUCAUAAGAACUUCUCCAAUUUGUUGUUAGUUUAUAAUCAAAAUUGAAUAAUAACCAACUUUCCGACCUGGACAUUUAACUAAUUUUUGAGUUCUCAUUUCAUUUAUGUUAAAAAAAAGAUUAUUAAAUUAUAUUUUAGCUUUUCUGAGCUUGUGAUCAUAUUUCAUAUUUUUGACGAGUUUCUUCAUACCUAUUAACACAAUCAGGUAUCUGAUAUGAUACAUGAAAGAUUAUUAUAUCUUAUAUGAUAUAAUCUUAUAUGAUACAGUUCUUGAGUAAUUAUCAUUCAUUCUGUAUACUCUUGUAUAUUUUUGUCAUUGAGUAUACACCUAACUGGAUGAAUACUUCUUGUACAAAUCAAUUCGUAUUCCGUAUAAUUCAAUAAUAUUCUAGUAAUUUGAAUUAGAAUAAAAUAUUAUAUGAGGAACUGUCAUAAGGCUGUUGGAGAAUGUUUAUUAUAGAAUGUAGUAACAGUUUGUAGUAUUCAACGU